rnacentral:tRNA from 1 species
GCGUACAUCGUAUAAUGGCUAUUACCUCAGCCUUCCAAGCUGAUGAUGCGGGUUCGAUCCCCGCUAAACUCA